rnacentral:rRNA from 1 species
GUAGGUGGCAAGCGUUGUCCGGAAUUAUUGGGCGUAAAGCGCGCGCAGGCGGUCCUUUAAGUCUGAUGUGAAAGCCCACGGCUCAACCGUGGAGGGUCAUUGGAAACUGGGGGACGUUGAGUACAGAAGAGGAAAGCGGAAUUCCAAGUGUAGCGGUGAAAUGCGUAGAGAUUUGGAGGAACACCAGUGGCGAAGGCGGCUUUCUGGUCUGUAACUGACGCUGAGGCGCGAAAGCGUGGGGAGCAAACAGGAUUAGAUACCCUGGUAGUCCACGCCGUAAACGAUGAGUGCUAAGUGUUAGGGGGGUUUCCCGCCCCCUUAGUGCUGCAGCUAACGCAUUAAGCACUCCGCCUGGGGGAGUACGGCCGCAAGGCUG